GACGUAGGGUGCAAGCGUUGUCCGGAAUCACUGGGCGUAAAGGGCGCGUAGGCGGUCUCUUAAGCGUGUGGUGAAAGCCCGGGGCUCAACUCCGGGUCGGCCGUGCGAACUGGGAGACUGGAGCUUGUCAGAGGCAGGCGGAAUUCCGGGUGUAGCGGUGGAAUGCGUAGAGAUCCGGAAGAACACCGGUGGCGAAGGCGGGUCUCUGGGCCGAUACUGACGCUGAGGAGCGAAAGCGUGGGGAGCGAACAGG
rnacentral:rRNA from 1 species